CAUUAGACGAAUCAUCUGGAAAGAUGAAUCAAAGAAGGUAAUAAUCCUGUAGUCGAAAAUGUUGUCUCUCUUGAGUGGAUCCUGAGUACGACGGAGCACGUGAAAUUCCGUCGGAAUCUGGGAGGACCAUCUCCUAAGGCUAAAUACUCUCUAGUGACCGAUAGUGAACCAGUACCGUGAGGGAAAGGUGAAAAGCACCCCGGAAGGGGAGUGAAAUAGAACCUGAAACCGUGUGCUUACAAGUAGUCAGAGCCCGUUAAUGGGUGAUGGCGUGCCUUUUGUAGAAUGAACCGGCGAGUUACGAUUUGAUGCAAGGUUAAGCAGUAAAUGUGGAGCCGUAGCGAAAGCGAGUCUGAAUAGGGCGUUUAGUAUUUGGUCGUAGACCCGAAACCAGGUGAUCUACCCUUGGUCAGGUUGAAGUUCAGGUAACACUGAAUGGAGGACCGAACCGACUUACGUUGAAAAGUGAGCGGAUGAACUGAGGGUAGCGGAGAAAUUCCAAUCGAACCUGGAGAUAGCUGGUUCUCUCCGAAAUAGCUUUAGGGCUAGCCUCAAGUGAUGAUUAUUGGAGGUAGAGCACUGUUUGGACGAGGGGCCCCUCUCGGGUUACCGAAUUCAGACAAACUCCGAAUGCCAAUUAAUUUAACUUGGGAGUCAGAACAUGGGUGAUAAGGUCCGUGUUCGAAAGGGAAACAGCCCAGACCACCAGCUAAGGUCCCAAAAUAUAUGUUAAGUGGAAAAGGAUGUGGCGUUGCCCAGACAACUAGGAUGUUGGCUUAGAAGCAGCCAUCAUUUAAAGAGUGCGUAAUAGCUCACUAGUCGAGUGACACUGCGCCGAAAAUGUACCGGGGCUAAACAUAUUACCGAAGCUGUGGAUUGUCCUUUGGACAAUGGUAGGAGAGCGUUCUAAGGGCGUUGAAGCAUGAUCGCAAGGACAUGUGGAGCGCUUAGAAGUGAGAAUGCCGGUGUGAGUAGCGAAAGACGGGUGAGAAUCCCGUCCACCGAUUGACUAAGGUUUCCAGAGGAAGGCUCGUCCGCUCUGGGUUAGUCGGGUCCUAAGCUGAGGCCGACAGGCGUAGGCGAUGGAUAACAGGUUGAUAUUCCUGUACCACCUAUAAUCGUUUUAAUCGAUGGGGGGACGCAGUAGGAUAGGCGAAGCGUGCGAUUGGAUUGCACGUCUAAGCAGUAAGGCUGAGUAUUAGGCAAAUCCGGUACUCAUUAAGGCUGAGCUGUGAUGGGGAGAAGACAUUGUGUCUUCGAGUCGUUGAUUUCACACUGCCGAGAAAAGCCUCUAGAUAGAAAAUAGGUGCCCGUACCGCAAACCGACACAGGUAGUCAAGAUGAGAAUUCUAAGGUGAGCGAGCGAACUCUCGUUAAGGAACUCGGCAAAAUGACCCCGUAACUUCGGGAGAAGGGGUGCUCUUUAGGGUUAACGCCCAGAAGAGCCGCAGUGAAUAGGCCCAAGCGACUGUUUAUCAAAAACACAGGUCUCUGCUAAACCGUAAGGUGAUGUAUAGGGGCUGACGCCUGCCCGGUGCUGGAAGGUUAAGAGGAGUGGUUAGCUUCUGCGAAGCUACGAAUCGAAGCCCCAGUAAACGGCGGCCGUAACUAUAACGGUCCUAAGGUAGCGAAAUUCCUUGUCGGGUAAGUUCCGACCCGCACGAAAGGCGUAACGAUUUGGGCACUGUCUCAACGAGAGACUCGGUGAAAUCAUAGUACCUGUGAAGAUGCAGGUUACCCGCGACAGGACGGAAAGACCCCGUGGAGCUUUACUGUAGCCUGAUAUUGAAAUUCGGCACAGCUUGUACAGGAUAGGUAGGAGCCUUUGAAACGUGAGCGCUAGCUUACGUGGAGGCGCUGGUGGGAUACUACCCUAGCUGUGUUGGCUUUCUAACCCGCACCACUUAUCGUGGUGGGAGACAGUGUCAGGCGGGCAGUUUGACUGGGGCGGUCGCCUCCUAAAAGGUAACGGAGGCGCUCAAAGGUUCCCUCAGAAUGGUUGGAAAUCAUUCAUAGAGUGUAAAGGCAUAAGGGAGCUUGACUGCGAGACCUACAAGUCGAGCAGGGUCGAAAGACGGACUUAGUGAUCCGGUGGUUCCGCAUGGAAGGGCCAUCGCUCAACGGAUAAAAGCUACCCCGGGGAUAACAGGCUUAUCUCCCCCAAGAGUUCACAUCGACGGGGAGGUUUGGCACCUCGAUGUCGGCUCAUCGCAUCCUGGGGCUGUAGUCGGUCCCAAGGGUUGGGCUGUUCGCCCAUUAAAGCGGUACGCGAGCUGGGUUCAGAACGUCGUGAGACAGUUCGGUCCCUAUCCGUCGUGGGCGUAGGAAAUUUGAGAGGAGCUGUCCUUAGUACGAGAGGACCGGGAUGGACAUACCUCUGGUGUACCAGUUGUCGUGCCAACGGCAUAGCUGGGUAGCUAUGUGUGGACGGGAUAAGUGCUGAAAGCAUCUAAGCAUGAAGCCCCCCUCAAGAUGAGAUUUCCCAACUUCGGUUAUAAGAUCCCUCAAAGAUGAUGAGGUUAAUAGGUUCGAGGUGGAAGCAUGGUGACAUGUGGAGCUGACGAAUACUAAUCGAUCGAAGACUUAAUCAA
rnacentral:rRNA from 1 species